rnacentral:lncRNA from 1 species
CCCCGAUCCGUCCACCGCCCGGGCCCUGCCAUCAGGCUCCUUGGAUAGCUUGGCUUCCGGCACCCUGAUAUGUAGCCCAACACUAUUCUGGAUGUUUCUGGGAGGGUGUUCAUAGAUAAGAUUGACCUUUCAGUUGGUGACAUUCCAAUAAAGCAGAUUGCUCUCCGAAACGUGAGUGGGCCUCUCCCAAUCAGUUGAAGAUCUGAAUCGCAUAAAAGACUAACUUCCCCCAAGCGAGAGGCAAUCCUGCAGCAAACAGCCUUCAGACUCAACUUGCAACAUUGGCUCUUCCUGGUCCCCAGUCUGCCAGACCACCCUGAAGACUCUGGACAUGGCAGCCUCUGUGACUAGGUAAGCCACUUCCUUCAAAUAAGUCUUGUUUUGUAUAUAUAAACAUUCUAUUGGUUCUGUUUCUUUGGGGAAUCCUUCUUUUUUAAAGUUUAUUUAUUUUGAGAAAGAGACAGAGAGAGAGAGUGGGAGGGGCAGAGAGAGAGGGAGAGAGAGAGAAUCCCAAGCAGGCUCACACUGUCAGCGCAGAGCCCCGUGCGGGACGUGACUUCACAAACCGUGAGAUCUUGACGUGAGCUGAAAUCAAGAGUCAGACACUUAACUCACUGAGACACCCAGGUGCCCCUAUCCGGAGAAUCCUAAUACAGAAUAUCCGCUUGAUUUGUUUUAUAGAGUCUUGCUCUCCGUCAAAACUCCCAGUCUGUAAAUCUCUUCUGUUCAACUUUUCCUCGAUUUUAUUGAACACAGUUGUCCUUGUUAAAGUCCUUUUCCGCUAACUCCAUCAUGUGGACCAUCUGUCGGGGUGUGGAUGGCUUUCCCGCUUUUCUAAUUGGUAACAUCCCCUGCCUCUCGGAGAUCCAAGAACUUUUUAUUGCACGCUGGGCAUUGUAUAGAUUAGAACGCUGGAGGCCACGUAUAUGCGCACUCCCUCCUUCCCGGAUCCGUGAGCGCCAAGUACUAAUCGCAUAAACUCCAUCACAAGUGGAGCUUGGUCGGGGCUGGGCUGCACUUGGAGAAAGACUCCCAUAACCUCCCAUUUCUCCCUUUUCCCAGGCAGGCCCCCCACCCCAGCCUCUGGCCGAGAUCCUUCUGGCACGGUGAGCGCGAGAGACCCGGCUCUGCCCGCUCACUGUGUCUUCUGCUCUGCUGGUGAGUCUCUCGCGCGCAGCUUCCAAAUCUGGCCCGUCUCUUCAGAACAGGAUCACACAAGCAGGCUCCUUCCUGGGGUGGGGGUGGGGGUGCUUCCCAGAACCGAGAGGCUGUUGGCAGUGCCUGCAAGGGCGCCGCGUCCUGCGUCCCCACCUCUGCAGCCGCCCGCACAGAAGAAUGUGUUUGCAUCUCUCCAAGUUUCUAGCUGGCUGGGAGAUGGUCGCUGGUUUCCCCUGCCAAGCCGAGUCUCUGGGCCACACCCAUCCCCUGGCGGCGCCCGGGGUUGGCAAACAGCCCCGGGGAAGGAAGGCGCACAGCGCCAGCCCCCCUGGCGGCGUUCCCACCUCUGGUUCCCGGUCCCUCGAUCCCUCGGCUGUCGCUCCUGUCACGGCUCGCCAGCGUAUUUUAGAUACGACAUUUGCAGUCUGGCUUCCCCCUGGCCCGGGGGAAGGCUUGUGACCACAAGGCCCACGUCACCCUCUCGCAUGUGGAAGGCGAAGCCGCUCUGAGGGCUGCGGGGUUGUAGGCUCAUUGCAUCCCGGUUCAUUGGGAUCGUUUUCCACAUCUGCCCUUUUUAUUACUCAUUCUCUAGGAUUUCCAAGUACACCAUCAUCUUGUCUGCAAAUGGAGCUGACCCUACUUCCUUCCAUUCGAGUGCCUGUCAUUGUCCAAUUUUCCAAUUGCCUGGGUGAGUACUUUAAUAGAAUUCCAGAUUAUGAUGGGAGCGUUUCUGGUAUUCUUCUUAUAAUGUAAGAUGAUAACUUCAGGGGGCGCCUGGGUGGCGCAGUCGGUUAAGCGUCCGACUUCAGCCAGGUCACGAUCUCGCGGUCCGUGAGUUCGAGCCCCGCGUCGGGCUCUGGGCUGAUGGCUCAGAGCCUGGAGCCUGUUUCCGAUUCUGUGUCUCCCUCUCUCUCUGCCCCUCCCCCGUUCACGCUCUGUCUCUCUCUGUCCCAAAAAUAAAUAAACGUUGAAAAAAAAAAUUAUUAAAAAAAAAAAUAAAAAAAGAUGAUAACUUCAGGAGAUUAUAUUCUUCUUGAAUAUUUAUUUUUUUAUCUUACGGACAGAGAGUAUGUGCCAGUAGGAGAGAGGGGCAGAGAGAGAGAGAGAGAGAGAGAGACCAUCUCAGCCGGGCUCCACACGCAGCACAGAGCCCAUCGUGGGGCUCGAUUCCACGACCCUGGGAUCAUGACCUGAGCUGAAAUCAAGAGUCGGACGCUCAACCGACUGAGCCACCCAGGUGCCCCGUGAAUAUAUAUGUUUUUAGUGUUUAUUUAUUUUUGACGGGGGGGGGGGGGGCUUGUGCGCACAAGUGGGGGAGGGGCAGAGAGAGAGAGGGAGAGGGAGGAUCCGAAGUGGGUUCCAGCUCUGCCCUGACAGCAGAGAGCCUGAUGCAGGGCUUGAACUCACAAACUGAGAUCAUGACCUGAGUGAAAGUUGGACACUUAACUGAGGAUCUAGGCACCUCGAGUAUUUUUAAUCAAGAAAGGAUAUUUAACUUAUCAGAGGUGUUUUCAAAGCCUGUAGGUUUUCUCCUAUAAUAUUUAUUUUCAUAUCUAUUAAUAUGAGGAAUUGUAGUUUUUAAAUAUUUAUUUUAUUUUUGGGAGAGACAGAAUGAGCAGGAGAGGUGCAGAGACAGAGAGAGAGAGGAUCCAAAGUGGGCUGUGAGCUGUAAGCACACACCUGAUGUGGGGCUGGAACCCGCGAACCACGGAGAUCAUGACCUGAGCCAAAGUCGGCGGCUCAGCGGAGACACCCAGGCGCCCCGAUAUGAGGAACUAUAUUAACCAAUUCCCUGACAUUUAACUGUCACUGACUCCUGGGAUAUAACCUACUCUGUCAUACUGUAUUACUUUCUUAAGGUGCUGGUGGAUACUUGCUCGUUAAUAUUUAUUUAAGAUUUUUGCAUUGGAGUAUCUAAGAGAUAUUGGGUCUGUGAUUUUCUGUCUUUCCACAAUGUUUAUUAGGUCAGUUCCCAAUGCUUCGUUCUUGGUAUUAAUUAUUUUGUGUAUUUGUACUGUUUGUCUUUUAUCGAUUAGGUUAGUUGCUUGUCUAGUUAUUUUAAUUUUCCAGACAACCGAAGUUUUAAUUUAUUAACGAAGGCCGGGGGCGCCUGGGUGGCUCAGUCGGUUAAGCCUCCGACUUCGGCUCAGGUCACGAUCUCGCGGUCCGUGAGCUCGAGCCCCGCGUCGGGCUCUGGGCUGAUGGCUCGGAGCCUGGAGCCUGUUUCCGAUUCUGUGUCUCCCUCUCUCUCUGCCCCUCCCCCGUUCAUGCUCUGUCUCUCUCUGUCCCAAAAAUAAAUAAACGUUAAAAAAAAUUUAUUAACGAAGGCCGUUAUGCUGUCUACUCCGUUCCCUUCCACUGUGACCCUUCCACUUCCCUUCCCUGUUCUUUCUUCGGCUGCCUUGUUUUCCUUCUCCGGGUUGAGUUGGGGAUUUGAUUUGUGUCCUGUCACUCCUUUUCCUUUUCAAUGAAACCAAAGUUCGGGCUUUAAAAGCUUUUUCUAUAGCGUUCAUACUUGAAGGACUUCUGACUGCACAGCAACUAUUUGCUUCAAACGUGUUUUCUUGACUCUGUUCUAUCAUUUCUGCUUCGCUGUGUCUUGCUUGCGGCUGAAAAGUCCCAUGUCAGGCUCUCUCUCCCCUACGUACACCUGGGGGCCCAGGCACUGAAGAUUAUUUCCGUAUCUUCCAGCCCACCGCUCCCACCGGCCCCCCACCUCCCCUGCCUGCCCCCCCGCCCUUGGCUCGCACCUGCCCCGGCCCCCCGCGGAGCGCCCACGCAGGUGUCUAAGCUGCCCUGGUGCUUCCUUCUCGCUCGGCUUCAUCCGUCCUCACUUCGCAUCUCCCUUUCUGUUGUCCACCCGUGUCUCGCGGCUCCGAGUGUCUGUCGCAACGUGUUGCUUCCUGUCUCCAGCUGUCUUACUUCAGCUAUUACACCUCCGGGCCGCGUCACAGCUGGUUUUCAGAGACGUGUUCAGCCGCGGGUUUCACGCUCCCUUGGGGUUGUCUGCGAACAAGGCUGCCCUCUCCCGGCGGCGCGGGGAAGUGCAGCGCCUGUGACUGCGGUCGGUCCGUCCGUCCGUCGGGUCUGUCGGUGGGAGGGUGGGAGGGUCCGCGCCUCCGAGAUUGUGCUUCUUCCGGCGGCGGCGAGUGCUUUUCCCUUCUUAGCUUUCUCCACAUUUGCCACCAAGCCUGCAAGGGUCCGCGCCCCAGGAAGGGAUGCGUUUGGCUGCCCCUGCGUCCCUGUCCACGGCGUGGGGGGGUGGGGGUGGGGGGCAGUCCUCCGGCUACCAGGUCUAAGUUGUCCAAAGUAGCCACGGAGGCACCACCCCUCUCCUUCUGGGGCUGGCUUUUGCCUGUGGCCGUCGCCCUCACACUCUCCCUUUCUUCCCUUUCCUCCCCCUCUCCCCCUCCCCCCCAACCUCGGUCUGCACAGCAGGUGCCCAGGACCAGACAGCCCUCCCAGAACUCUGCGGCUGUUCCUCCCCAAGGACAUUUGUGGCAUCGCCCUCAUCUCCGGGGCGCGCUGAGGUCAUGAGAAAGGUGGGGUUCUGUUGCCUUUCGGUUGACCUGCGUUCCUUUCCUCACUAGGAAGAGGACGCAGGCUCGGGUAUAGGCAGCUGAAAUUGUCCUCGGGCAUCCCACAAUUCAACGUGGGUUUUUUAAAUUUAAGAUUCUCAAUUUGUUGUUAGUAUAUGGAAAAACGGUUGGGUUUUAUAUGUUGAUCCUCCAGCCAGUGACCUUUCUGAAUUCAUGUGUUCGUUCCAAUAGUUGGUCUGUACCUCAUACUGGACUGUCUAAAUUCAAAAUCAUAGGGCGUCCAAGUGAUGGCAGCUUGAUCCCAUCUUAAAUAGCAGUGGUGACAACAGGGGAGAAACAGUGGUUCCCCACCAUCACAGGUGCCCCUUAUCAGAUCGGAAAGGCCCCUUCAUUCCUAGCUCACUCAGAGAGUUAUCGUAAAUUGUGUUGAAUUUAAUCAAAUUACUUUCUUUUUUUUUUUUUUCAAAGUUUAUUUAUUUUUGGGACAGAGAGAGACAGAGCAUGAACGGGGGAGGGGCAGAGAGAGAGGGAGACACAGAAUCGGAAACAGGCUCCAGGCUCGGAGCCAUCAGCCCAGAGCCCGACGCGGGGCUCGAACUCACGGGCCGCGAGAUCGUGACCUGGCUGAAGUCGGACGCUUAACGGACUGCGCCACCCAGGCGCCCCUAAUCAAAUUACUUUCUGCAUAUAUUAGAAGAAAGUAUGUUUUCUUUUUUGGGGGGGCCACUGGUGAUUUCCUGAUAUUAUUCUUAGGAUACAUUUUCAUUAAAUUUUAUGGGAGAUUGCCCUGGAGUUUCCAUUUCUUAUAAUACUUUGUCCAUUUUUUAAAAAUCUAGCUUAUGCAGCCUCUGAAAAUUAAUGAGGGAGUGUUCAUUUCUUGGUUUCCUCUGAAAGAGAUUCUGGAAGAUUGAUAUUAUCUUUCCUUUGAUUGCUUGGAAGAAUUAACCAGUGAGAGCAUCUAAAUCUGAAGUUUUUCUUUGUGGGAAGCUUAUCUUCAAUCAGCUUUUUGAAGUACCAUUUGAAUAAAAUGUAACCGCCCACCACAAGCAACCUGUGGAACCUGUCCUCAUGCCCAUAGGGGUCCCUGGCACCUCCCUGCAGUCAGCUCCCUCCUCCAAGCCCUCACCCCUGGCGAUCACUGAUUUGAUUUCUGCUACCCUCUCAUUUGUGCCUUCUAGAAUUUCAUAUUAAUGGAGUCGCACGACACGCGUGGUUUUUUGUCUUCCCUUUUUAACUUCGUGUGUUUUUGAGAUUCACUCGUGUCAUUGCAUGUAUCUGUUGUUUACCCCUUUACAUUUGUUUAAAAACAAAAUUCAACUGGGUAAAUCUUAAAGAUUUUAUUGGCUUUAUUCGCCAAUUCAUGAAUCGCACAGCCUCCGAUCUAGCUGAUAGAAAGGAGCCCUGAGGAGCGUCAUGAAAUAAGGCUUUUAUAGGCAGAAGAGAGCAGGCCGGGCAAGUUACAUGGCAAGAUGCGGGUCGGUUGUGACAAAGUCGUCUUCCUUUAAGGGACAGCAGAGAUCUGUCAGGCAGAUCCCCUCGCUAGCAGCUGACCAGGUAAUUCCAGAUUGACUGGUUUGAGGUUCCAUUCCCUGGAGAGCUGGGACUGUAAUUAGGUCCCAGGUGCCUCGGGGCUCAGCCUCAGUGACUCUGGGGGCUGUUGUCUUGUAUUUACCACCUUGUUAGGUAGUAUUCUCUCUCAUGGAUAUACACACGUGUGAAUAAAACUUCUAUCCAGGUCUGUUUUCAUUCCUUUGGGGUAAAAGCCCAGGAGGGUGACGGCUGGGUCACAGGCAAAGAAGAGUAUGUCUAACUUUAUAAGAAACUGCCAAACAUUUUCCCAAAGGGCUGCAGCUUUCUGUGUCUGCCCCUGGCACCUCCGGAGAGUUCCAGCACUAGGCAUCAUCUGUCUUCGACCGCAGCUGGUUUUGCAGGCGUCUAGGGGUACCCCGUUGUGGUUUUAAUUUACAUUUUCCUGAUGGCUAACAUCUUUUCGUGAGCUUUUUGCCGUCUGGAUUUCUUCAAUGGUGAAGUGUCUAUCCAGAUCUCUUGUCCAUUUAUCAUACGGUUGUUUCCUUUUUAUAAAAUUGUACGCACCGUUUUAACAUACACAGAUAUUUUUUCCUGGCUUUGGGUUUCAGUUUUAUUCCCUUAAACUAUCUUAAGAGCAGAAGCUUUUAAUUCUAAUGAAGUCUAAUUUAUACUUUUUUUUUUUCCCUUUAGAGAUCAUGCUGUUUGUGUCCUAAGAGACGUUUAUCUAGCCAAAGUCACACAGAUUAUCUCCUGUACUUGUUUCUGGAAGACUGUGAGUGUUGGCUCUUAUGCUCGCAUAUUAGACCCAUUCCACAGAUGAAUGUUGGAUGAUUACAUCCAGCACCUGAGGAGCCACAUGUAUGCUUAGAGAUAUGUGCUGAGAUUUACUCUCCUAGGGAAGCUUAUUCCAAUCCCACUUACUGAAAAGACAAACCUUUCCCCGCUGAAUUAGCUUGAGGGCUUUAUAAAAACCAAUUGAGUGGAUAGGUGGGGUUUGUUUCUGAACCUGCUGUUCUGUUCUUCUGACCCACGUGUCCAUCCUGAUGCCCAAAACAAUAUUAUUGUCUGAAUUACCGCGGUCUUACAGUCAGGCUUAAAACCAGGUAACGUUGGGGGCGCCUGGGUGGCUCAGUCGGUUGAGCACCGGCUUCAGUUCAGGUCACGAUCUCACUGUCCGUGAGUUCGAGCCCCGCGUCGGGCUCUGGGCUGACAGCUCAGAGCCUGGAGCCUGUUUCGGAUUCUGUGUCUCCCUCUCUCUCUGCCCAUCCCCCAUUCAUGCUCUGUCUCUCUCUGUCUCAAAAAUAAAUAAACGUUAAAAAAAAAUUAAAAAAAAAAACAGGUAAUGUUGUACCUCCCGAUUUGUUCUUCUCUUUCAAAAAUGCUUUUGGGGACGCCUGGGUGGCCCAGUCCGUUGAGCGUCCAAC